rfam:Oryza barthii chromosome 5, whole genome shotgun sequence.
AAUAAGCAUAGUUGUGAGUUUUAGUGUCCAAUGUUUGACCUCUAUUUUAUUUGAGAUUUUUUUAUGAUUAAUAUUUUUAUUGUUAUUAGAUGAUAUGCGUGACUUAAUUUUUAUUUUUUUAUAAGUUUUCAAAUAAAACGGACAGUCAAACGUUGGACACGAAAAUUUAUGAUUGCACUUAAA